rnacentral:rRNA from 1 species
AUUCCAGCUCCAAUAGCGUAUAUUAAAGUUGUUGCAGUUAAAACGCUCGUAGUCGGAUUUCGGGGCGGGCCGACCGGUCUGCCGAUGGGUAUGCACUGGCCGGCGCGUCCUUCCACCCGGAGACCGCGCCUACUCUUAACUGAGCGGGCGCGGGAGACGGGUCUUUUACUUUGAAAAAAUCAGAGUGUUUCAAGCAGGCAGUCGCUCUUGCAUGGAUUAGCAUGGGAUAAUGAAAUAGGACUCUGGUGCUAUUUUGUUGGUUUCGAACACCGGAGUAAUGAUUAACAGGGACAGUUGGGGGUAUUCAUAUUUACAUGUCAGAGGCGAAAUUCUUAGAUUUUGGAAAGAUGAACUACUGCGAAGGCAUUUACCAAGGAUGUUUUCAUUA